rnacentral:rRNA from 1 species
UACGUAGGGGGCUAGCGUUGUCCGGAUUUAUUGGGCGUAAAGAGCGUGUAGGCGGCCUGACAGGUCUGCUGUGAAAACUCGAGGCUCAACCUCGAGAUGUCGGCGGAAACCGUCUGGCUAGAGUCCGGAAGAGGAGAGUGGAAUUCCUGGUGUAGCGGUGAAAUGCGCAGAUAUCAGGAAGACACCUAUGGCGAAGGCAGCUCUCUGGGACGGUACUGACGCUGAGACGCGAAAGCGUGGGGAGCGAACAGG